rnacentral:rRNA from 1 species
UGCUUUACACACGCAAGUCGAACGGCAGCACGGGUGCUUGCACCUGGUGGCGAGUGGCGAACGGGUGAGUAAUACAUCGAAACGUACCAUGUAGAGGGGGAUAACUAAUCGAAAGAUUAGCUAAUACCGCAUAAUCUCUGAGGAGGAAAGGUGGGGACCGGAAACGGCCUGUCGUUAUGUGAGCGGUCGAUGGUCGAUUAGCUAGUUGGUGGGGUAACUGCUUACCAAGGCUGAGAUCGAUAGCUGUUCUGAGAGGAAGACCAGCCACACUGGGACUGAGACACGGCCCAGACUCCUACGGGAGGCAGCAGUGGGGAAUAUUGGACAAUGGGGGCAACCCUGAUCCAGCAACGCCGCGUGAAUGAAGAAGGCCUUCGGGUUGUAAAGCCC